CGGACGGGUGAGUAACGCGUGGGCAACCUGCCCCGUGCCGGGGGAUACCGCCUGGAAACAGGCGCUAAUACCGCAUAAGCGCAUACAGCCGCAUGGCAGUAUGCGGAAAGCUCCGGCGGCACGGGAUGGGCCCGCGCCCGAUUAGCCAGUUGGCGGGGUAACGGCCCACCAAAGCGACGAUCGGUAGCCGGCCUGAGAGGGCGGACGGCCACAUUGGGACUGAGACACGGCCCAAACUCCUACGGGAGGCAGCAG
rnacentral:rRNA from 1 species